UACGAGAGGCCCAAACGUUAUUCGGAAUUACUGGGCUUAAAGAGUUCGUAGGCGGCGCAGAAAGUAGGGUGUGAAAGCCCUCGGCUCAACUGGGGAGGGUCAUUCGAUACUGAUCGACUCGAAGGCAGGAGAGGGUAGUGGAAUUCCCGGUGUAGUGGUGAAAUGCGUAGAUAUCGGGAGGAACACCAGUGGCGAAGGCGACUACCUGGCCUGUUCUUGACGCUGAGGCGCGAAAGCCAGGGGAGCGAACGGG
rnacentral:rRNA from 1 species